rnacentral:rRNA from 1 species
CCUACGGGGGGCAGCAGUGGGGAAUAUUGCACAAUGGGCGAAACCCUGAUGCAGCAACGCCGCGUGAGCGAUGAAGGCUUUCGGAUCGUAAACCUCUUUUCUCAAGGAAGAUAAUGACGGUACUUGACGAAUAAGCCCCGGCUAACUACGUGCCAGCAGCCGCGGUAAUACGUAGGGUGCUAGCGUUACUCGGAAUGACUGGGCGUAAAGGGCGCGUAGGCGGGUUCGUAAGUCAGAAGUGAAAGGCUAAGGCUUAACCCUAGUAAAGCAUUUGAAACUGGGAAUCUUGAGUAUAGGAGAGGUGGGUGGAAUUCUUGGUGUAGGGGUGAAAUGCGUAGAGAUCAAGAGGAAUACCAGUUGCGAAGGCGGCUUGCUAGAACGUAACUGACACUGAGGCGCGAAAGCGUGGGGAGCAAACAGGAUUAGAUACCCUUGUAGUC